GCUAACACUAGCCCUAAGCACAACCAACACUAAUACUAAACUUAACAUAUACUAAACCAUUUACCUUCUCAAAGUAUAGGCGAUAGAAAUUUUAACCUGGCGCUAUAGACACAGUACCGUAAGGGAAAGAANAAAAUCANNCAAGCAUAAAACAGCAAGAACUNACCCCUGUACCUUNCGCAUAAUGAAUNAACUAGAAANAAUUUCGCAAAGAGAACUAAAGCUAAAUCCCCCGAAANCAGACGAGCUACCCNAAAACAGCUAAAAGAGCGCACCCNUCUAUGUNGCAAAAUAGUGGGAAGAUUUNNGGGUAGAGGUGACAAGCCUACCGAGCCUGNUGAUAGCUGGUUAUCCAAGAUAGAAUCUUAGUUCAACCUUGAGNUUACCUACAGAACUACUUAAUCNACUUGUAAACUCAAUUGUUAGUCCAAAGAGGGACAGCUCUUUNGACACUAGGAAAAAACCUUAUANAGAGAGUAAAAAACCACAAUCNCCAUAGUUGGCCCAAAAGCAGCCAUCAAUUAAGAAAGCGUUCAAGCUCAACAUCAACCACCCAAAAAAUCCCAAACAUAUAGCCGAACUCCCNAUACCACAUUGGAUUAAUCUAUNACUACAUAGAAGCAAUAAUGUUANUAUAAGUAACAUGAACACUUUCUCCACUGCAUAAGCCUAAAUCAGACCGAAAACNUCACCGAUACUUAACAGNCUNGUAUUAACAAACANAAACAAGCCAAUACCNCUCCACUGUUAAUCCAACACAGGCAUGCCCCAAGGAAGGUUAAAAAAAGUAAAAGGAACUCNGCAAACUUAACCCCCGCCUGUUUACCAAAAACAUCACCUCUAGCAUUACNAGUAUUAGAGGCACNGCCUGCCCAGUGACACANGUUUAACNGCCGCGGUACCCUGACCGUGCAAAGGUAGCAUAAUCACUUGUUCNUUAAAUAGGGACUCGCAUGAAUGGCANCACGAGGGCUUAACUGUCUCUUACUUUUAACCAGUGAAAUUGACCUGUCCGUGAAGAGGCGGACAUGAAAUAAUAAGACGAGAAGACCCUGUGGAGCUUCAAUUUACCAGUACAACCAAAGGCCAGACAAACCUACAGGCCCCUAAACUCUCAUAUCUGUACUAAAAAUUUUGGUUGGGGUGACCUCGGAGCACAACUAAACCUCCGAAGAAUUCAUGCUAAGACUACACAAGCCUAAGCAAAUUAACAUCCACAAUUGACCCAAUAGUUUGAUCAACGGAAUAAGUUACCCCAGGGAUAACAGCGCAAUNCUAUUCUAGAGUCCAUAUCGACAAUAGNGUUUACGACCUCGAUGUUGGAUCAGGACAUCCUAAUGGUGCAGCAGCUAUCAAGGGUUCGUUUGUUCAACGAUUAAAGUCCUACGUGAUCUGAGUUCAGACCGGAGCAAUCCAGGUCGGUUUCUAUCUAUUCUACAUUUCUCCCUGUACGAAAGGACAAGAGAAAUAAGGCCCACUUUACAGCAGCGCCCUCACUACAUAAAUGAUCUAAUCUUAAUCUAACAAAAUACCACACACCCCACCCAAGAACAGGGUUU
rnacentral:rRNA from 1 species